GCCCCGGUGGUGAAACUGGUAGACACAUGAGACUUAAAAUCUCCCGCUCGCAAGGGCGUGCCGGUUCGAUUCCGGCCCGGGGCA
rnacentral:tRNA from 4 species